CGGGGUACUUGCAAUUGCAGUAAAAUCCGAGUGGGUUGAGAUUAGCAAGGUGAAUGUGUGAAAAUACUGGGAACGACAUGUAAAAGCUGAUGAUAGAAAGUGGCGUCAGCAAAUGUAUAAGUGUGGAAAGUAAGUUUGGGUGAGAACCUGAGAAAAUGAUGAUGGUAUAUGAUGCCACUGGGAGGAGGAUUCUGGUGGAUCAGCUGAGGGUGACAACCUGAGAAAAUGAUGGUAGUAUAUGCUGCUACUUCUGCUUUGACAAAACAACAAUUGAGUUGAUUUCU
rnacentral:lncRNA from 1 species